GCUCCGACCUUUUCACACAUCAUACUUUUUGUGACGAUAAUCAUGUACUGAGAAAAAUCCAACAUACGUCUUAUGAACUCUGAGAAGGUGUGAUUGGAAACUGUAGAACUCUGACAAAAGUAAAAAAAGAUUGUUUUAUUAAGCAUAUUUAAAUUCGGAUAUGAACUCUGAGAAGGUGUUAUUCUAAUAAGAAAGGUUGGGACCAUUCAUAAUCAGGAUCAUUGAAUUUCCAUAUGGCAUGGAUUAACACGGCACUAAGAUGUCAGGUUUUAGGUUUAGAAAUAUAACCUAAAGUCAGGCCCAAGCAAAUCCAGAGAAACUAAAAGAAGCUGGGUUCUGAAGAUGUUGCAAGCAUGAUCAUCUUAUAACCAACAAGCUGAAAAAUCACUAACACACCGUUCGGACAGGAAGGAGGAAGCAAACCUGAAUUCUGUUUCAUAUUCCAUUCUGCUUUGGAGAUCAAGCUUUCAAUGAAUGGAAUAUGCUCUUCUGUAAGAAAUUAACAAACUCUUGUUCUGAUUAUUACCUGCACAAUCUGAUUACAUAAAAAUUAGAUAAUUAUACACACUGACAGACAUGCCAUCAUCUUCCUUUUUUUUUUUUUUUCUAUUGGUCGCUCAAUAAUUUGGAGGCUCAACCUAGGGGCCAAUGACUCAUAACUCAUUCAAUAUUUUGGAGGCAAGCAACCUAAGGGCCUCCACACGGGCUAAGAAGAAUUUAUGGAGGCAAAGUUAGGGACACCUCAGAGAUGAUCCUUCACAUCGAAAGUCUUCAACGACUUUGGUGUAAGCAAUGGAAGAAGUACUCUUUUAUGAUGAAACGUUGAUAUAUAUUUUGCAACUGGUUGUCAGCCAAGGCAUCUUAAGGUGAUCCCUCAAAGUA
rnacentral:lncRNA from 1 species